rnacentral:rRNA from 1 species
GACGAACGCUGGCGGCGUGCUUAACACAUGCAAGUCGAACGGAAAGGCCCUGCUCUUGUGGGGUGCUCGAGUGGCGAACGGGUGAGUAACACGUGAGUAACCUGCCCUUGACUUUGGGAUAACUUCAGGAAACUGGGGCUAAUACCGGAUAGGAGCUCCUGCUGCACGGUGGGGGUUGGAAAGUUUCGGCGGUUGGGGAUGGACUCGCGGCUUAUCAGCUUGUUGGGGGGGUAGUGGCUUACCAAGGCUUUGACGGGUAGCCGGCCUGAGAGGGUGACCGGCCACAUUAGGACUGAGAGACGGCCCAGACUCCUACGGGAGGCAGCAGUGGGGAAUAUUGCACAAUGGGCGGAAGCCUGAUGCAGCAGCGCCGCGUGCGGGAUGACGGCCUUCGGGUUGUAAACCGCUUUCGCCUGUGACGAAGCGUGAGUGACGGUAAUGGGUAAAGAAGCACCGGCUAACUACGUG